GGAAUGAAUGGACGGGGACAUAUGAAAUUUAUGGAGAUAGAUAGGAGUUAAAAUGAAGGGUAGUUUUGCAUACCUCCCAACUUUAGCAUCCUGAGAAUCAGGAUGCUGGUGGGAGGGAGGUAAAGGGGAUGGGAAAGUGAUGUGAUCGUGUAACAUAGCGCAAACUUGUGCUAUAAUUAUUGGGGGCAGUUCCCUGGUGUCCUGAAAAGAGACAGGGAAGUAAGAGGGGACAGGACACGAAAAUUGGGACUGCUGGGGGCAUGGAUUUAAAAAUGGAGGUGAAGGAAUACAAGAUGAAAAUGAAGAAAUACGAGGUGAUUGGGUGGCGAUGAAAUUAAGAAGAUGGUAUGAAUAGGAAUGCAGAGAAAUUAAGAGUAUGAGAUUGUGACAGUUUUUAUAUGUGGGAUGGGAGCUGGAAUAUCUACACACUCACAUCUCAAGUACAAAC